CUCCAACACAUUCAAAGAAAUUUUAAUAACACCACUACAUACACACAUACACAACAAAGGGUAAAAUGUGCAGAAACAUUUAACUCAACUCUUCUCUCAUACAGAACCCUGAAUGAUAGAAAGAAACAACCAAAGUUCUCGUGUUUGAACAAGUUUUGUUUUGAGCUAUAUCAUGGCUGCUUGUGAAGUAUUAUUUUGCGUGUUUUAUUUAAUUGAGUGAUCUGCAGCCUAAUUAAAGUAUAAAUUAUUGAAGCACGCAUUUUUAAAUAACUAAAACGUAAAAUAAAAGUUUUCUAAGGCCAAAAUAUGGAAUUGAAGAGGGUGAUACAGUAAUACUUCAUUGCACUAUCAACUCGAAGCACGCAAUAGAAGCCAACAAUGGUCAACAUCAAUGGCGAAACCAUUGAAUACAUAUUUCAAACCUCAUAUGGCGCGUUAAAGGUACGCAAACUUAUUGGUGUCACUUAUUGUAGCAGCGUAGAACUUUCGAAGCGAUGGAAUAUGUGCUGCAAGCAAAUCCAAAACUAUGGACGCAAACGCUGCUACAUGGAACACAAAUCAUUCACACACCAGAUAUUACGCUUAAUGUCACUUUUUUACGUGCAAUUAAACCUUUUGGUCAACACAAGCACGAGAAUUGGAACGACAUGGUUUAGGUGCUUUUGAAACCGUUUAUUAUCACGACGUGUGUCAACUGGGUUUUGCCAAUGAGCUAGAGGGCAAAGCAGUUUCAGUAUCUUUGAUCUUACUUGGCCGUGCCAUUAGCAGCUAAAACACAGAAAUUAAAGGGAGGACUUUUUUGAUUAAUUUUCACCUUGUAUUGAGGAAUCAUAACGUUGUUGUAUCGCUUUACAAGGACAUAAAUUCACCGAAAUUAGUUCAAUGGAAAUUCUACAGCAAGAGCAUGGAUGUUAAGACUUGAACGGUGCCGUGUUAGAUUUAGAAUUCCUGAAACAUAAGAAACCCUCCUCCCAGAUGAAUCUAGUACUAGUGAAAUUAAUGAAAGAACAGAUCUUAUAAAAACUCCGAAAGAAACCAAAAGAGUCCUCACAUAAUGUGCGCAGCUUACACUUCCAGGCCGCACGGGGUAUUUGACAUUUGUCAGUCUUCCUCCAGCCUUUGUCCAAAAAGCAAAAAUUGUUCAACUAUUCAAUACGUUAUAGUUACGUUAUGUAUAUAGUGUAGUACGAUAAUAGAUGUAUAAAGUAAAUAUAAUAAUAAACACCUAAAUGGCAUACAAUUUUCAAUAAAUAUGUAAUAU